rnacentral:lncRNA from 1 species
GGGGUUUGGGUUUCCUGUUGGGCUACAAUGAAUGCGCUUCCGACCUGGGGGGGAGAGGAAGGGGAGGGUUUCUUUCCAUUCUUCUGGCCACGCAGGAUCCUGGGUUUCCAGGGUGUGGAAAUGCCUCUGGUGGCCUGUUCCAGGUGGUGUGGUUGUUUGGAAGUUGGUGGAAAUCUUUGCCUGUUCUGGAGAUGUUCGCUCCUCAUUGUGGGGUGUGUCUGUGUCCUCAGAGCCCCUCAUUCCUUGAAAUGCUUCCCUCUGGCUGUGCCCCUCCCUCCUGCCUUCCCACACCUACCAAGACAUGGGUGGGUUUUUUGGUUUUUGAUUUUUUUUUUUUUUUUGGUUUUGGUUUUUCAGUAUCAGCACUUGCUUGUUCCACUGUCUCUCCUUUCCCCCUGAUACUUGGGGAUUUUUUAAUGUUCCCCUGACCACAGAUGUCAGCAAAUCCUCCUGAAUGCACACUGGGCUCUGAUCUCUCUCCCCUUCAAGUGAUUUCCAUAUCUAACUGUCUCCGGCAUGUGUGCCCUGCAUUUGUUGAAAGAUUAAAAAUUUUAUGUGACCUUUGUUUUCACCUAACUGAAGGCUUGGGUAGGUGGAGUUACAGGAAGACGAAAAGCUAAAUAAAAGUAGUCUGGACCUCCAGCCAGCAGCACACAGCACUUCUGAACAGAACGAUGUGUUCUUGGGUAAGUCCCCAA